GUUCUCAGCUUGGCAGUACAUGUUCUAAAAUUGAAAUGAAACAGAGAAGAUUAGAAUGGCCCCUGUGCAAGGAUGACAUGGAAAUUUGUGAACGUUCCAUAUUUUU